rnacentral:sRNA from 1 species
GGAUGUGAGGGUGAUCUGGCUGUGACAUCUGUCACCCCAUUGAUUGCCAGGUUGAUUCAGCUGAUCUGGCUGGCUAGGGGGGUGUCCCCUUCCUCCCUCACCACUCCAUGUGNGUCCCUCCCGAAGCUGCGUGCUUGGCGGAAGAGGANGACCAUCCCAGAUAGGAGUGUACCAUUCUUCGGUCAAGAGUAGGGAUGUGCACGAAGCUUCGUGGCAUUCGAUUUUCGAUCGAUUUUCGUGAUUUNGUGCCCUUCGCAUCGAAUGCGAAGGGCAACAGAAAUCACGAAUGCGAAUUGCGAAGGUCCCUCAAUUUUUCGAAGCAUUUCGGGACCUUCGCAAUUU